CUUCGAGUCGUUGAUUUCACACUGCCGAGAAAAGCCUCUAGAUAGAAAAUAGGUGCCCGUACCGCAAACCGACACAGGUAGUCAAGAUGAGAAUUCUAAGGUGAGCGAGCGAACUCUCGUUAAGGAACUCGGCAAAAUGACCCCGUAACUUCGGGAGAAGGGGUGCUCUUUAGGGUUAACGCCCAGAAGAGCCGCAGUGAAUAGGCCCAAGCGACUGUUUAUCAAAAACACAGGUCUCUGCUAAACCGUAAGGUGAUGUAUAGGGGCUGACGCCUGCCCGGUGCUGGAAGGUUAAGAGGAGUGGUUAGCUUCUGCGAAGCUACGAAUCGAAGCCCCAGUAAACGGCGGCCGUAACUAUAACGGUCCUAAGGUAGCGAAAUUCCUUGUCGGGUAAGUUCCGACCCGCACGAAAGGCGUAACGAUUUGGGCACUGUCUCAACGAGAGACUCGGUGAAAUCAUAGUACCUGUGAAGAUGCAGGUUACCCGCGACAGGACGGAAAGACCCCGUGGAGCUUUACUGUAGCCUGAUAUUGAAAUUCGGCACAGCUUGUACAGGAUAGGUAGGAGCCUUUGAAACGUGAGCGCUAGCUUACGUGGAGGCGCUGGUGGGAUACUACCCUAGCUGUGUUGGCUUUCUAACCCGCACCACUUAUCGUGGUGGGAGACAGUGUCAGGCGGGCAGUUUGACUGGGGCGGUCGCCUCCUAAAAGGUAACGGAGGCGCUCAAAGGUUCCCUCAGAAUGGUUGGAAAUCAUUCAUAGAGUGUAAAGGCAUAAGGGAGCUUGACUGCGAGACCUACAAGUCGAGCAGGGUCGAAAGACGGACUUAGUGAUCCGGUGGUUCCGCAUGGAAGGGCCAUCGCUCAACGGAUAAAAGCUACCCCGGGGAUAACAGGCUUAUCUCCCCCAAGAGUUCACAUCGACGGGGAGGUUUGGCACCUCGAUGUCGGCUCAUCGCAUCCUGGGGCUGUAGUCGGUCCCAAGGGUUGGGCUGUUCGCCCAUUAAAGCGGUACGCGAGCUGGGUUCAGAACGUCGUGAGACAGUUCGGUCCCUAUCCGUCGUGGGCGUAGGAAAUUUGAGAGGAGCUGUCCUUAGUACGAGAGGACCGGGAUGGACAUACCUCUGGUGUACCAGUUGUCGUGCCAACGGCAUAGCUGGGUAGCUAUGUGUGGACGGGAUAAGUGCUGAAAGCAUCUAAGCAUGAAGCCCCCCUCAAGAUGAGAUUUCCCAACUUCGGUUAUAAGAUCCCUCAAAGAUGAUGAGGUUAAUAGGUUCGAGGUGGAAGCAUGGUGACAUGUGGAGCUGACGAAUACUAAUCGAUCGAAGACUUAAUCAAAA
rnacentral:rRNA from 1 species